CGAGGUGUGGCUCAGUUUGGUAGAGUACAUCGUUCGGGACGAUGGGGUCGCAGGUUCAAAUCCUGUCACCUCGACCA
rnacentral:tRNA from 1 species